rnacentral:lncRNA from 1 species
GGAGACCCCCUAAUUGACGUAACAACUUCACUUAUGAUCGUUUUAAAAAUGAGUGUCUGCAAGUUGCAUUGUAAACAGUUGUACAAUACGAAAAUUAAUCAACGUGAAUGCAAAUAUUAUAAUGAUUUCACGAAAAGUAACUUUUGUGACAUCUUGACAACCGUAUACAAAGUUCAUUUCACUUUUCUACCUUCUAAACACAAGAGGUCGAAUUCUUUUGUUCUUUUUAAACCGCAUACCAGACUGUUUACAACCACUUCCAAUGCCUCCAACAACAACAAAAACGGUAAAAACUGUGUCACAAAAAGUUGAUUACGGCUGUUAAAGAAACAUGUAGCCAAAUGAUUGAGGAAUGCAUUGCCAGUAAAUUCUUGUAUUGGUGUGUUGCGUGUCAAUAAACACUUGGUUUAAAGUACGUUCAGAUAAAGACAAAAAAACAUAAAAUAUAUAAAAAAAGAUAAGGUAUGAUUGCCAAAGAGACAACUAUCCACCAGUCGACAAGUUCAAAUAAAGUUAAUGUAACCAAUUACAUGUAUAGGCAAUCUUGUGACCUUGAUCAAUGAGAACAAAAAUCCCAUUCCGUUUAGUUGUCUAUAAAAAGGUCCCGACAUGAAAAAUAUAAAUCAAUUCAACUGAAAAAACCUAAGUUUAACGGCAUAAUUUAUAACAAAAAAAAAUGACAGACACGUACCAUCGACAACCACUUAUAACUACAGGCUCCUGGAUUGGAACCGUCUACGUUUUUGUGAGUGCUCAACCCUCUCCUAACCAGUGCAGUGGUUUAAUAACACAGCAUAAGAAUACACUGUAAAAAUCAGUUGAAAAUGGCUUAACUUAUCAGAUCGAUACAAAACAGGCUUUGAUUGACAACCAAAAACCACAUACGACUUGUACGCAGCGGUUUCCAGGCCAUCAAAAUGAGACAACAAUUCAACUCGAUUCCAGAAAUAAGAUACGGACUUCAACUUUAUUUCAUAAAAAAAGUUUUUUAUAUUAGUGG